UACGUAGGGCGCAAGCGUUAUCCGGAAUUAUUGGGCGUAAAGAGCUCGUAGGCGGUUUGUCGCGUCUGCCGUGAAAGUCCGGGGCUCAACUCCGGAUCUGCGGUGGGUACGGGCAGACUAGAGUGAUGUAGGGGAGACUGGAAUUCCUGGUGUAGCGGUGAAAUGCGCAGAUAUCAGGAGGAACACCGAUGGCGAAGGCAGGUCUCUGGGCAUGUCCUGACGCUGAGGAGCGAAAGUGUGGGGAGCGAACAGG
rnacentral:rRNA from 1 species